rnacentral:lncRNA from 1 species
AUUUUCUGUGUGCCAGGGUCCUGGUUAGCAUAUUUAUCACGCAAUCACAAGCCCAGGAGUAAAAAUAUGCUUCAGUCUGACAAAUUUAUAGCUACCUGGCAAUAUACUCAACUUUAACGUAGCCUCUAGUAUUAAAAUUGCAGCUGAGCAAAUCUCUUAACAAACCAACCUCUCUCCUAUCCCACAUUCUGACUAACUCCAUGAUUUGCAACAAUUUUUACCUUUGCAGUUAGAGAGCAGCAGGUGGUGCCAUGGGUCUGGCCACAAAUGCCUGACUGACAGGGCAUGGCGAGGUCCACCUGCUCCCUCAGCACAGAGAAGCCAGAGGUGGUGGCCAGCUCCGGCCAUGAGCCCAGCCCAGGAGGCAGUACCACGGUGAUAAGGCAGGUCCAAGGCCAAGCCAGGAAUUCAGCCUGCAGGUCAGGCUUGGGCUGCGGUGCAGUGACUGCUGUGCAAGUCCACAGAGAUGAGGCAGGACCGAGGCCAAGUUGGGAAGCCAUCCUGAGGCUGGGGUCCGGCCCCAGGCCUGGCUGAGCUGGAGAGCAUUGCGUGUCUGGCACGCCUCAGGCAGGUGCUGGGCGCAAACAUGGCUGCUGGCCGUGAGGCAGAGGGAGCGGGGAGCGCCCAGGUGGGAGAAUCAUGGCUAUUAAGGCCUAUUGGUGCUCGCAGGGCUCUGAGGUGUGCGUCCUAAAGAAAAAUACAGAGGAGAGGAGAGAGUUGGAAGAAAACUCUUACAUAAUAAUGAAGUUUAUGAAGGGAGACUGAAAUGAAAAUCUCAAUUUAAUCUUAUCACUCCAAGUCAACUGUAUGACAGAACUUUCCAGAACACCUGCCAGCCAGAGAGGUACCAAAUUACAAGACAGCCUGAGCUUCAGGAAUAGUUUCAAAACCCCCAGACAACUCCAAGUUUCUCUUUUAUGUGCAGUAUUGGAGGAGGGAGCUCACAGGAAGGAGUGCUUCAAAUUGGAAGAAUACCUGUACUCUUUAGGAGACAUUAUAGCUGGAAGAGAACAAGAAAUAGAAAUGGUAUCACAGAUGGGGAACUGUAUCUCUCAAAGUCACUGGUCCAGGUUGAUUUGGAGUAGAUUAUUUUGUUAUAUUGAGCCUCUGGCCAGAAUUCAGAUCCUGACCAAAACAGCAUAUCCAACAUCCCAACCUCUUAGCGACUUCUGGAAAAAGACACAGUAA